CAGGCUGGAGUGCAAUGGCGUGAUCUCAGCUCACCGCAAACUCUUCCUCCUGAGUUCAAGUGAUUCUCCUGCCUCAGCCUCCCUGAGUUGCUGGGAUUACAGCUAUUACAUCUGGCUAAUUUUGUAUUUUUAGUAGAGACGGGGUUUCUCCAUGUUGGUCAGGCUGGUCUUGAACUCCCGACCUCAGGUGAUCCACCCACCUCGACCUCCGAAAGUGCUGGGAUUACAGGCGUGAGCCACAAUGCCCGGCCUGUGUAGGUCAGUUUUCUAUUACCAUUGUUUAUUAAGAUUUUCAUGUUUCUAAGGGUGAUGAUGGAGUCUCCCUUGCACCCUUCUUCAUUCUGGCCCCAGAAGUACUUGGCAUGUAUUUUAUUUAUUUAUUUUUAGAUUUCGUUAUUUUAGUAAGAUCUUUUUCUGUAUCUCUAUUUAAGAUAGACUAGGAAUGUAAUUGAAAAUGAGAAGGGGUAAGUAGGAUGUAUAAGAGAAAAGAGAAGGAAGAAUAAAGAACGGGAAGAAGGAAAUUGAAGGAGAUGACAAGCUCUCUGGAUGAACUUCUAUGAACAUUUUUUGUGAUUUGUACCUAAAGGCAGACUUAAAUAAAGGUUUCAUAGUGAC
rnacentral:lncRNA from 10 species